UAAUAAAUACGGGCUUAGUUUCGUCGGGACACUGCUCUCAGGGAUGUCCAAGGCACCUUAUCCUGGGUAAUGGCUCCACUCAUCGACAUUUUAGAUCUAUGUUUUCGGGGAGUCAUUUCGGGCCCUCCGUGAUUGGAAGUUUCGUCCGGUGUACCAGUUGUUGAUGCAAGAAAGGAAGUAGCCGAUCGGGUGGCAGCAGCAGUCGUACAUCUCGGACAUACCUUUGACCUCCUGUCCGAAGAACGCCGACGCUUCCUCGUCUCUCAACUACCUGCCCGCUUGCGGUCUGUAAUACCUCAGGAGCCGGACGACGGUGCUGUAUUCGGGCGGCGUUUCCUGUUCGCUGAUGGCGUUUUCGACAGAAUUCUAAAGCAAGCGAAAGCCGUGGAAGCUCUUAAAUCGAGUUCUACGCCAUUCAGCCGGUCCUUCGACGAACCACCAUCGAAGGUGCCUCGUUGGGAACAGCCAACCAGCCGUUCUGGUGGAAGAGGUCGGGCCCCUUCCGCAGCCGGGCCACAGCCCUUUCGACAACGCCCCUCACUUCGCAGCUCGGGAGCGAGGGGUGCGGCAGCAGAGCCUGGCUACCGCAACAGAUAAAUAAUGAUGCACCUCCCAGCAUAUGGACGCUGUGGGCAAGUUGAAUGGUUGAACGUGGUUGAACGUUUUGGACUUUGAGGAGUUUUCUGGAUAGUAUCUCGGGUGACAAAUAAAUGUUGGCUCAGUA